ACUGAAUAUAGAAAAUGAUAGUGCAAAUGGGUGGGGCAUCCGUGUAGUGUUGACACAUUCUUGUUUUAACUGAAGUAUCAUUAAUAUUCACAGACUAAUUGAGUUUCGUGGGGUGGAACCAGGGUUUUCACAUGAAGCUCGAUUUUUAAGCAAGACAAAAUUUUGUUUUUUUACAUCAUUCAUAUCCUAUUUGCCAAAAAUAAAUCCAG
rnacentral:lncRNA from 1 species